rnacentral:rRNA from 1 species
CCUACGGGAGGCAGCAGUGAGGAAUAUUGGUCAAUGGGCGCGAGCCUGAACCAGCCAUGCAGCGUGCAGGAUGACUGCCCUAUGAGUUGUAAACUUCUUUUAUAAGGGGAUAAAGUGAGGCACGCGUGCCUUUUUGUAUGUACUUUAUGAAUAAGGAUCGGCUAACUCCGUGCCAGCAGCCGCGGUAAUACGGAGGAUCCAAGCGUUAUCCGGAUUUAUUGGGUUUAAAGGGAGCGUAGGUGGGUUGUUAAGUCAGUUGUGAAAUUUUGCGGCUCAACUGUAAAAUUGCAUUUGAUACUGGUAGCCUUGAGUACAGUUGAGGUAGGCGGAAUUCGUGGUGUAGCGGUGAAAUGCUUAGAGAUCACGAAGAACUCCGAUUGCGAAGGCAGCUUACUAAGCUGCCACUGACAUUGAUGCACGAAAGUGUGGGGAUCAAACAGGAUUAGAUACCCUGGUAGUC